rnacentral:lncRNA from 1 species
UUUAAUAAAUAUUUCUCUUUAAUAAUAGAUAAUAAAAAUUGUUAAUAAAAUAGAUAUAUAGCAUUGGAUUUUUUUUUCUUGCAAAUGGACAGCUCAUGAAAAUUCUCUCUCUCAACUGACUUUCACGUGACACUCCUCUCUUCACCUCACGUUUUCUUCACUCCCACUCCCUAACGGUCACACACGCGUCUCUCUAUCUCAGAUUCUCUUCCCUCACACCUCACACCUCACUUAUAUAACAAACACACGUCUCUCUCAUAAUGACUCCUACGAAAAAGGAAAAAGAAAAAACUCUCCUUCUUCCACUCAUCACUGACUUUCACGUGACUCUCCUUCUUCCACUCAGAUUCUCUUCCCUCACACCUCACACCUCACUUAUAUAACAAACACACGUCUCUCUCAUAAUGACUCCUACGAAAAAGGAAAAAGAAAAAACUCUCCUUCUUCCACUCAUCACUGCGACCCUUUUUACGCCUCUCCGCACAACCCUCUCUGUUUCACGCCGAAAAC